rnacentral:rRNA from 1 species
UACGGAGGGUCGAGCGUUAACUACGGGAAUUACUGGGCGGGUAAAGUCGGUGCGCAGGCGGUUUGUUAAAGCGAGAUGUGAAAGCCCCCCGGGCUCAACCUGGGAAUUGCAUUUCGAACUGGCGAACUAGAGUCUUGUAGAGGGGGGUAGAAUUCCAGGUGUAGCGGUGAAAUGCGUAGAGAUCUGGAGGAAUACCGGUGGCGAAGGCGGGCCCCCCUGGACGAAAGACUGACGCUCAGGCACGAAAGCGUGGGGAGCAAACAGGAUUAGAUACCCCCGUAGU